UCAUGCCAAUGGCACUGCCCGGUAGCUAAAUGCGGAAGAGAUAAGUGCUGAAAGCAUCUAAGCACGAAACUUGCCCCGAGAUGAGUUCUCCCUGAGACUUAGAGUCUCCUGAAGGAACGUUGAAGACGACGACGUUGAUAGGCCGGGUGUGUAAGCGCAGCGAUGCGUUGAGCUAACCGGUACUAAUGAACCGUGAGGCUUAACCUUACAACGCCGAAG
rnacentral:rRNA from 3 species